AACCGGCUCCGGGUCAGGCAAACUCCAUUCAUUUCCGUUUUUUAGGACUAGAAGAUGGCGAGCUCUAUGACUGCGCCACGAGUUGUGCAACAAUGAAAUCCGAUUCAGAUCCCCUUCAUUUGACGUAGACGACUGAGUUUUCCACCAUGGAGCCCUGACUCUACUGGAGGGGCCAGGGAGCCUCUGCUGAGAACCAGCCCAGGCUGGACUCUGUAAAAGAACAAGGGAAGUGAGUGUCAGGAAGAGAGGAGAAUAGGAACAGGCAGGCAUGGAGACCACUGAGCCAUCAAACAGUGUCCAGCACAGAGAAGGGAGAGAGGGACACAUGGAGACCACUGAGCCAUCAAACAGUGUCCAGCACAGAGAUGGGAGAGAGGGACACAUGGAGACCACUGAGCCAUCAAACAGUGUCCAGCACAGAAAAGGGAGAGAGGGACACAUGGAGACCACUGAGCCAUCAAACAGUGUCCAGCACAGAAAAGGGAGAGAGGGACACAUGGAGACCACUGAGCCAUCAAACAGUGUCCAGCACAGAAAAGGGAGAGAGGGACACAUGGAGACCACUGAGCCAUCAAACAGUGUCCAGCACAGAAAAGAGGGGGGGACACUUGGAGACCACUGAGCCAUCAAACAGUGUCCAGCACAGAAAAGGGAGAGAGGGACACAUGGAGACCACUGAGCCAUCAAACAGUGUCCAGCACAGAAAAGGGAGAGAGGGACACAUGGAGACCACUGAGCCAUCAAACAGUGUCCAGCACAGAAAAGGGAAAGAGGGACACAUGGAGACCACUGAGCCAUCAAACAGUGUCCACCACAGAAAAGGGAAAGAGGGACUGGCAUGGAGACCACUGAACCAUCAAACAGUGUCCAGCACAGAGAAGGGAGAGAGGGACACAUGGAGACCACUGAGCCAUCAAACAGUGUCCACCACAGAAAAGGGAAAGAGGGACUGGCAUGGAGACCACUGAGCCAUCAAACAGUGUCCACCACAGAAAAGGGAAAGAGGGACACAUGGAGACCACUGAGCCAUCAAACAGUGUCCAGCACAGAAAGGGAAAGAGGGACACUUGGAGACCACUGAGCCAUCAAACAGUGUGCACCACAGAAAAGGGAAAGAGGGACACAUGGAGACCACUGAGCCAUCAAACAGUGUCCAGCACAGAAAAGGGAAAGAGGGACUGGCAUGGAGACCACUGAGCCAUCAAACAGUGUCCAGCACAGAAAAGGGGGGGACACAUGGAGACCACUGAGCCAUCAAACAGUGUCCAGCACAGAAAAGGGAAAGGGGGACACAUGGUAUUGUUCUCUGAGUAAUCAUUCUAUAUUGACUUUUCAGAGAAUAGAUACAGUGGGUGUGUACGUUGGAGGGGUCGACUUUUGGGAGGGGGUACAAAGGGAGAGAUUGAUAAAGAGAGGUAUUAAGAGAAAGCGGGUGAACUGUGUAAACACCAGGCUGGUGUGUGAACGUGUGCGGGGGCGCAGGGGUGAA